CAAACAUGUCCCCGGGGGAUAAUCGCACGCCGCCCGCCUCCCUCUCACCCGCUCUAUCCCUGGCCACCACAGACGGGUUGUCGGACUCCGACGAGGACCUGGUGGUCUGCGGGAUCAAGUUCUGAUCUUUUGGUCACUAACGAGUCGAAUGCUCGUCGUUGUCACCGCAAGAAUGCCAAGUUGCUGCGAGAGGGCAUCGAGGCUUCAUGGAUUGAAGCUGAGAAGCAAGCCCGCACCCGAGCCCUCGCUGAGGAGCAAACAUGUGCCACGCGCACCCUCACCAACAUGCAGGAGGACUCCAACGUCCCCGAUGGCCCCGUCAACGACCCUUACACCAUAUUCGACCUCUACUACCGAGGAUGGAAGGGGAAGAGGAACCUCGCCGGGAUUUCUUCUUUAUUUGAUGUAUGUUAGUAUUGUCCUAGAUUGAACUAGUUUUAUUUCGUCGUUUGUUGAACUACCGUUGUAUGUUGCUUCUAUCAAAUGUAUCCUAUGUUACAUGGAUU